rnacentral:rRNA from 1 species
AUUGAACGCUGGCGGCAUGCCUUACACAUGCAAGUCGAACGGCAGCACGGGGCAACCUGGUGGCGAGUGGCGAACGGGUGAGUAAUGCAUCGGAACGUGCCAUUGAGUGGGGGAUAACGUAGCGAAAGUUGCGCUAAUACCGCAUAUUCUGUGAGCAGGAAAGCAGGGGACCGCAAGGCCUUGCGCUCUUUGAGCGGCCGAUGUCAGAUUAGCUAGUUGGUGAGGUAACGGCUUACCAAGGCGACGAUCUGUAGCGGGUCUGAGAGGAUGAUCCGCCACACUGGAACUGAGACACGGUCCAGACUCCUACGGGAGGCAGCAGUGGGGAAUUUUGGACAAUGGGCGCAAGCCUGAUCCAGCCAUGCCGCGUGAGUGAAGAAGGCCUGGUUGUAAGACUCUUCGUCCGGAGAGAUCGCA